rnacentral:rRNA from 1 species
CGGAGCGUGUGGUUUAAUUCGUAUGUUACACGAAGAACCUUACAGGGUUUGACAUGCAAGUGGUAGGAAGCCGAAAGGUGACCGACCCUUCGGGAGCUUGCACAGGUGCUGCAUGGCUGUCGUCAGCUCGUGUCGUGAGAUGUUCGGUUAAGUCCGCUAACGAGCGCAACCCUCGCUGUGUGUUAUAUGUGUCACACGGGACUGCCGGUCUUAAGCCGGAGGAAGGUGGGGAUGAUGUCAAGUCAGCAUGGCCUUUAUAUCCUGGGCUACACACACGCUACAAUGGCCAACACAAUAGGUUGCUAAGCCGCGAGGUGGCGCCAAUCCAUAAAGUUGGUCUCAGUUCAGAUUGUAGGCUGCAACCCGCCUGCAUGAAGAUGGAGUUGCUAGUAACCGCAGGUCAGCUAUACUGCGGUGAAUACGUUCCCGGGGCUU